UUCUUGCUCCUCCACCCACCAGGUCCACUCCAAGAAAACGAACGCGUCAGUCCCAUCAGGAUGACGGACGCCCUUAUAUUAAGAAGCCACCAAAUGCCUUCAUGCUCUAUCUGAAAGAGCAGAGGCCAAAGGUGGUGGCUGAAUUGAACAUGAGUGGGAGUGCAGCUGUUAAUGCAGUUGUGGGAGCGAGAUGAAAGUUGCUCUCAAAAGAUGAGCAGGCAAAAUAUUUUGAUCAGGCGGCGACAGAAAGAUGGCGCCACACAAAAAAGCAUCCACAGUGGUCCACUAAAGACAACUACGGCCAAAAGAGGAAGAGAGUCAGAAAUCGGAGCUGUACCACCGUGUCUGCAUCUGACCAGGAAGAUCAGCAGGUCAAGAAGGCUUACAUCACGCCAGCUCAGCAGCCACAGACACAGCCAGGUGUUGCUAGCCUGCCUCACCAGCAGGCAGCGUGUCUGCAGCUGCCAAAUCAGGUCCUCUCCUCCUCACAUGUGGAUGUUCCUACAGACCUCUGCGCUGGUACUAAACUAAGUAUCACCAGCCCUGCUUUUCCUGUGGAUUCCACUCCAUCGACAUCAUUUGCCUCCCAAGCAAGACUGUUUCAACCCCGAACAGAGCCCAUCCUUUACAGCGACACUGACAUGUGGUCAGUGCUUGAUCACCGUCCC
ensembl:lncRNA